GCCCAGAGUUUAUCUGGAAGAUGACAGAUGGACCCUCAAUAAAAGUAGAAACAGAAGACAGAGAAAUGGCCUCAGAGAGCCCUUUAAGAAUGGGGGAAAAAAAACAUCUAUUUUUGUCUUAGAGUGUAAUCAAUAAAAAUGUUUUUUACCAUAUUGUUCUUAUCCUACUGACUGUUGCAGAUAAAUAAAUUUUCUUAUCUGUAACAACGUC